AUAGAUCAGACGACAGUGUGAACGCCGCUCUGGGAUUAUUCUGGAAACCACGAACUUGGAUUAAUGUGUCCGUGAUGAAACUAAGUGACCGUUUUCAGAAGUUCGAAACACAGGCGACUGGCUGUCAGCGUGCCAGGCUUUGACCAUAUCAGCACUGCUGACGUCACUGAUGGCGCUGGGCGUGUCGGCCAUCAUGGUGCGGGCAUCACGGGAGAAUACGCUGUCCGCAGCCAGAUACGGUACCAUUGCCACCAGCCUGUUUACAGGAGCAUCGAUAGUGACUUCUCUAGUUCUCUACUACGUUUGCAGUGAGGAGAAGUAUCCUCGAGAGUUCUACGGUCUAUCUUUGUCCUUUAUUUUGGUUGCUGUUGGCGGAGGCGUGUUUCUGUGUGUUGCCUCUCGUGCUGGGCAUUGACGCUGUGACCUCAAAACUACGUCACGUAAACGCCACGUCGUCGUGACCUCCGCCACUGGUUAGGGAUCGUGACCAGCGAAAUGUGUCUGUGACACUUUCUGCACUCUCUGAAAAAACAAACAGAAAGCCAACUCCAGCCAUUGUAACUGGCUGUCACCCUCGAUAUCCAUAUUGUUGUAUCUCUCCAGUCUAAGUAGAAGAAAGAAAGAAUUUAUAUGUCUGUUAAUCAUCAUCAUCAACAGCAACAACAACCUUGUCUUUAUCAUUUUCUCAUGUCUUGAAUGUUUUCUUGAUAUUUCACUGAUAGCAUCCUGAAGAAAGAUUUAUAUGUUAUAUCACUUUCACUGAGCUCUGUGUGUGCACGUGUGCGCGUGUGUGUGUGUGUUACUUAAUAUUGUUGAAGAUAUGAAUGUGAGUCAAAAGUCUGGAAUCAUCA
rnacentral:lncRNA from 1 species